GUGUCUUCACACAGCCACAGAGACACUUCAGAUGACAUCACAGAGACACAGAGAGACCCUUCUGGUGUCACCACAAACAUGCAGAGAACCCUUCAGGGGACAUCACAGAACAACAGAGAUAACAUUCAGAUGACAUCCCAAAGCCUCCAAAAGACCCUUCAGGUGAAUUCACAGAACAAGAGAGUGACCGUUCUGGUGACAUCACUUAGCGACAGAGAGAUGCUUCAGGUGACAUCACAGAGUCACAGAGACACUUCAGGUGUCAUCACAGAGCCACAGAGAGAUGCUUCAGGUGAGAUCACAGAUCAACACAGAGACACUUCAGGUGUCAUCACAGAGCCACAGAGAGACACUUAAGGUGACAACACAGAGCCACAGGAGACACUUCAGGUGACAUCACAGAGCAACACAGAGACACUUCAUUUGUCAUUACAGAGCCACAGAGAGACCCUUCAGGUGACAACACA
rnacentral:lncRNA from 1 species